GCACCCGCACAAGCGGUGGAGCAUGCCGUUUAAUUCGACUCUACGCGAAAAACCUUACCUAGACUUGACAUCCCUUGCAAAAUCCUGGAAACAGGAUGGAGGUUACCAAGGUGACAGGUGGUGCAUGGUUGUCGUCAGCUCGUGUCGUGAGAUGUUCGGUUAAGUCCGCUAACGAGCGCAACCCUUGUCUUAAGUUGCUAACAUUUAGUUGAGAACUCUUAAGAGACUGCCGGUAAUAAACCGGAGGAAGGUGGGGAUGACGUCAAAUCAUCAUGCCCCUUACGUCUAGGGCAACAGGCGUGCUACAAUGGCUGAUACAAAGAGACGCAAUACCGUGAGGUGGAGCAAAUCUUCAAAGUCAGUCUCAGUUCGGAUUGGAGUCUGCAACUCGACUCCAUGAAGUUGAAAUCGCUAGUAAUCCUGAAUCAGAAUGUCAGGGUGAAUACGUUCCCGGGUGUU
rnacentral:rRNA from 1 species